rnacentral:rRNA from 1 species
GACGAACGCUGGCGGCGUGCAUAACACAUGCAAGUCGAACGGAAAGGCCCUGCUUGCAGGGUGCUCGAGUGGCGAACGGGUGAGUAACACGUGGGUGAUCUGCCCCUUACUUUGGGAUAAGCCUGGGAAACUGGGUCUAAUACUGGAUAGGACCAUGCUGUAGGUGGUGUGGUGGAAAGAUUAGUUUCGGUAAGGGAUGAGCUCGCGGCCUAUCAGCUUGUUGGUGGGGUAAUGGCCUACCAAGGCGUCGACGGGUAGCCGGCCUGAGAGGGUGGACGGCCACAUUGGGACUGAGAUACGGCCCAGACUCCUACGGGAGGCAGCAGUGGGGAAUAUUGCACAAUGGGCGCAAGCCUGAUGCAGCGACGCCGCGUGGGGGAUGACGGCCUUCGGGUUGUAAACUCCUUUCAGCCAUGACGAAGCCCUUGUGGUGACGGUAGUGGUAGAAGAAGCACCGGCUAACUACGUG